rnacentral:rRNA from 1 species
UACGAAGGGUGCUAGCGUUGUUCGGAAUCACUGGGCGUAAAGCGCGCGUAGGCGGCUUUACAAGUCAGGGGUGAAAUCCCACAGCUUAACUGUGGAACUGCCUUUGAAACUGUAAAGCUGGAGUGUCGGAGGGGAUAGCGGAAUUGCUAAUGUAGAGGUGAAAUUCGUAGAUAUUAGCAGGAACACCGGUGGCGAAGGCGGCUAUCUGGACGACAACUGACGCUGAGGCGCGAAAGCGCGGGGAUCAAACAGG